rnacentral:rRNA from 1 species
AACGUAGGAGACAAACGUUAUCCGGAGUUACUGGGCGUAAAGGGCGUGUAGGCGGUUCGUUAAGUCUGGCGUGAAAGCUCUCGGCUAAACCGGGAGAGGUCGUUGGAUACUGGCAAACUAGAGGACGGUAGAGGCGUGUGGAAUUCCGGGUGUAGUGGUGAAAUGCGUAGAGAUCCGGAGGAACACCAGUGGCGAAGGCGACACGCUGGGCCGCACCUGACGCUAAAGCGCGACAGCAUGGGGAGCAAACGGG